rnacentral:rRNA from 1 species
UAGAUACCCUGGUAGUCCAUGCCCUAAACGAUGUCAAUUAGCUGUUGGGGCACUAGAUGCCUUAGUAGCGAAGCUAACGCGUGAAAUUGACCGCCUGGGGAGUACGGUCGCAAGAUUAAAACUCAAAGGAAUUGACGGGGACCCGCACAAGCGGUGGAUGAUGUGGAUUAAUUCGAUGCAACGCGAAGAACCUUACCUGGUCUUGACAUGUACGGAAGAGAGUAGAGACACUCUUGUGCCUUUGGGAGCC